ensembl:snRNA U6 U6 spliceosomal RNA
GUGCUCACUUUGGAAGCACAUAUACUAAAAUUGGAACGAUACAGAGAAGACUAGCAUGGCCCCUGCGCAAAGUCUCAGGGAUACAGAGAAUCAAAUGUAU